GUGUUACUAUUAAAACUGGUUGUAAAUUUAAAAUACAAUUAAAAAAAAUCCAAAAUAAAAUGAUUUUUUGAAAACUUCUGUUCUAUUUGAGCACGUUUCCCAGAAUGAGGUCGUGUAUAGGUUAAGUCCUAGAAGACAAUUAACAAAAACGUCCAUGUUCCUGCUUGAAAUAAAAUGAAUCUUUCUUCCCUUGCACAUCUCUUCUGAUGUCUCAGUCCAAAUUCAGACAUUAAAAACCACCCUAGAAAGCUAAGGCAGACGACCUCACCCUGCUGGCGACGGCUAUAUACAUUCACCUUUAUUUCAGGUGAAUCUGAACUGAAAUGGAUCCAGGCUUGUGGAGUUCCUUAGAAGUUCAGGAAGGGAUGCAGCGGGAGGGGAGCACUUCAAGGACGCACGAGUCCAUCCCUAACACCUGCCCUACCAGGAUUUUGCUCUCUGUAAACCUCAGAGCACAUCAUCCAUGACUCUUUUAAAGUUAAGUGACAGACUGCAACCUGAAGCGCAAGCAAUGUGUUUGAGAUAUUUUCAGGCAUUGUUCCAGCCUGAAAAUGUACUCACAGAACCCAAAUGCAGGUAUACGUAUUUUGAAGCCCUAACUAAUACAUUUCAUUUCCCACGUCAUCAUUUUCAUAAAUGUGUUCUAUUGUAUGUACCCAAACCAUUAGAUUUGCCCCUCAAAGCCUUUAAAUCUACUCAGCCCCAGCCUCUGAGCUGGACCCUUUUUUUUUUGUUUACUGCCAAGAAUCUGAAGUUUCUUUUCCAGCUGCCAGUGACUACUUCGUUCCAGUACACAAAGAUGAAAAUCCUUGCUGUUCUCCAUUCAGAUUUGUCCUUGAAAAUUCUUUGUAGACUUCAGAGGAAAACUUUCCAUUCAGUUUGUAUCUGGAGUUUCCUGGACUGUACAGGCCCAGGCUGCGGUCGGUUCCACAGCUCUAACCGGCUCUGAGCUGGAGAGCAACAAAGCCUCACUGAGGAGCAUUUAGACAAACAGGCACACAGCUCUGCAGGAAAGACAAACAUUGGGUAAACCAUAGGUAAGAACACAUUGGCAGAAUAAAGCUUGCCACUGGAAAGAGCAGAAAAGAGAUUCGCAUCAGCAAUAGGGUUCAACUCCCACCAAGUAUCCUUGGUUUGGAUACUUGCUAAAGCUUUCAGAUAGUGUGCAAACUUCAGCAAGAACUAUCAUAAAAUAAGGCUGAUGUUUAAACAGCAAAGCAAGAGCUGAG
ensembl:lncRNA